ACACAUGCAGUCGACGAACUCUUCGGAGUUAGUGGCGGACGGGUGAGUAACACGUGGGAACGUGCCUUUAGGUUCGGAAUAACUCAGGGAAACUUGUGCUAAUACCGAAUGUGCCCUUCGGGGGAAAGAUUUAUCGCCUUUAGAGCGGCCCGCGUCUGAUUAGCUAGUUGGUGAGGUAAAGGCUCACCAAGGCGACGAUCAGUAGCUGGUCUGAGAGGAUGAUCAGCCACAUUGGGACUGAGACACGGCCCAAACUCCUACGGGAGGCAGCAGUGGGGAAUCUUGCGCAAUGGGCGAAAGCCUGACGCAGCCAUGCCGCGUGAAUGAUGAAGGUCUUAGGAUUGUAAAAUUCUUUCAGUAGGGACGAUAAUGACGGUACCUACAGAGGAAGCCCCGGCUAACUUCGUGCCAGCAGCCGCGGUAAUACGAAGGGGGCUAGCGCUGCUCGGAAUUACUGGGCGUAAAGGGAGCGUAGGCGGACAUUUAAGUCAGGGGUGAAAUCCCGGGGCUCAACCUCGGAAUUGCCUUUGAUACUGGGUGUCUUGAGUAUGAGAGAGGUAUGUGGAACUCCGAGUGUAGAGGUGAAAUUCGUAGAUAUUCGGAAGAACACCAGUGGCGAAGGCGACAUACUGGCUCAUUACUGACGCUGAGGCUCGAAAGCGUGGGGAGCAAACAGGAUUAGAUACCCUGGUAGUCCACGCCGU
rnacentral:rRNA from 1 species